rnacentral:rRNA from 1 species
UACGGAGGGUGCAAACGUUGCUCGGAAUUAUUGGGCGUAAAGCGCACGUAGGCGGCCGACUAAGUCGGGUGUGAAAGCCCUGGGCUCAACCCAGGAAGUGCACUCGAAACUGAUCGGCUUGAAUAUGGAAGAGGGUCGCGGAAUUCCCGGUGUAGAGGUGAAAUUCGUAGAUAUCGGGAGGAACACCAGUAGCGAAGGCGGCGACCUGGGCCAAUAUUGACGCUGAGGUGCGAAAGCGUGGGGAGCAAACAGG